rnacentral:rRNA from 1 species
AUGAACGCUAGCUACAGGCUUAACACAUGCAAGUCGAGGGGCAGCAUGGUCUUAGCUUGCUAAGGCCGAUGGCGACCGGCGCACGGGUGAGUAACACGUAUCCAACCUGCCGUCUACUCUUGGACAGCCUUCUGAAAGGAAGAUUAAUACAAGAUGGCAUCAUGAGUCCGCAUGUUCACAUGAUUAAAGGUAUUCCGGUAGACGAUGGGGAUGCGUUCCAUUAGAUAGUAGGCGGGGUAACGGCCCACCUAGUCUUCGAUGGAUAGGGGUUCUGAGAGGAAGGUCCCCCACAUUGGAACUGAGACACGGUCCAAACUCCUACGGGAGGCAGCAGUGAGGAAUAUUGGUCAAUGGGCGAGAGCCUGAACCAGCCAAGUAGCGUGAAGGAUGACUGCCCUAUGGGUUGUAAACUUCUUUUAUAAAGGAAUAAAGUCGGGUAUGCAUACCCGUUUGCAUGUACUUUAUGAAUAAGGAUCGGCUAACUCCGUGCCAGCAGCCGCGGUAAUACGGAGGAUCCGAGCGUUAUCCGGAUUUAUUGGGUUUAAAGGGAGCGUAGAUGGAUGUUUAAGUCAGUUGUGAAAGUUUGCGGCUCAACCGUAAAAUUGCAGUUGAUACUGGAUAUCUUGAGUGCAGUUGAGGCAGGCGGAAUUCGUGGUGUAGCGGUGAAAUGCUUAGAUAUCACGAAGAACUCCGAUUGCGAAGGCAGCCUGCUAAGCUGCAACUGACAUUGAGGCUCGAAAGUGUGGGUAUCAAACAGGAUUAGAUACCCUGGUAGUCCACACGGUAAACGAUGAAUACUCGCUGUUUGCGAUAUACAGCAAGCGGCCAAGCGAAAGCGUUAAGUAUUCCACCUGGGGAGUACGCCGGCAACGGUGAAACUCAAAGGAAUUGACGGGGGCCCGCACAAGCGGAGGAACAUGUGGUUUAAUUCGAUGAUACGCGAGGAACCUUACCCGGGCUUAAAUUGCAGAUGAAUUACGGUGAAAGCCGUAAGCCGCAAGGCAUCUGUGAAGGUGCUGCAUGGUUGUCGUCAGCUCGUGCCGUGAGGUGUCGGCUUAAGUGCCAUAACGAGCGCAACCCUUGUUGUCAGUUACUAACAGGUUCCGCUGAGGACUCUGACAAGACUGCCAUCGUAAGAUGUGAGGAAGGUGGGGAUGACGUCAAAUCAGCACGGCCCUUACGUCCGGGGCUACACACGUGUUACAAUGGUUGGUACAACGAGUUGCGAGUCGGUGACGGCGAGCUAAUCUCUUAAAGCCAAUCUCAGUUCGGAUUGUAGGCUGCAACUCGCCUACAUGAAGUCGGAAUCGCUAGUAAUCGCGGAUCAGCACGCCGCGGUGAAUACGUUCCCGGGCCUUGUACACACCGCCCGUCAAGCCAUGGGAGCCGGGGGUACCUGAAGUGCGUAACCGCGAGGAGCGCCCUAGGGUAAAACUGGUGACUGGGGCU